UGUCAUCAUGGUAUCUAAGCCCGUCUCCUCCCUCCUCGUGGGCGCGUUCCUCCUCGUGGGCAUGACUUCAGGCGCCCCUCAGUACAACUACGACAUCCCUCAGUCGCCCUCCACCCUGUACGAGACUCCCGCCGAAUCCGUGCAAGAGCCCGUGCAGCUGUACGAAGAACCCGAGGAGACCGUGCAGGAGCCCGUGCAGCUGUACGAGGCUCCUUCCAACAACAUCCUGGUGGCUGAACCACAGAACAUCGUUCCGAAUAUUGUCAGUCCUCCAAAUCCCC